CAACUGAGGAGGCGAUUCAGACAUGUUGUUUAGGUAAAUGUCGGCUGAAACAAGGGUUCGAUUUAGGGAAUAGUGCAGGAGCACGGCUCAUGGAGAAUGAAGCUCGAGGACUAUGGAUUGUUGCCACAGAUUGUCGAAUUCUCUGAACCUGGAUGGGAAGAGGCAGAUGAGUUUGACAAGGCAGAAAAGAACACAGCAGAAGAAAUCAUCAUAGAGAGGGAGAGAGAGAGAGAGAGAGAGAAGAAUUUCCACUUAGUUGUAUGCCACUUAGUCCAAUGGAUCUGUUGCAUGGCACUAAAAUCCAAUGGAGUUUGGUGCAGUCACACAUCCCAUGCCAUUGGCGCAGUAUGAAAGCAGUUGAUGAAGGUUGGAGGAUACCACACUUCAUUCAGUAGCUGAUGGCUUUGUGCCAGUCUCUCUCUCUCUCUCUCUCUCUCUCUCUCUCUCUCUCUCUCAGUCUCUCUCUAUCCAUGUAGACAAGCCAAAGACGGGAAUCCAUGUUUCACAUGGGCACACAAAGCUGUGUGAUCGAGAGAAGCUUGAAGAAGGAAGAGACAUGAAUGAAUACACUUGUGUUCUUCCUUUUCCUGAUGUUCUGAGACUGAGAGAAACAUAGCGGUCUUUCUUCUCAUGCUCAAGUGAUCUUGUGUAUCCCUGAGAUUAUAGCUCAUUAAUCCUCUCUCUCUCUAUAUAUUCAACAGCUUCAUGUGGAAAUGUUGGCAUUCUGUACCACCAUCUGAAAAGAAGAAGUUGAGGAGUUUGUCUGAACUUAAAAUAGCUUUCGAUCAGAUUAGAUUCCAAUAGCUUACCAAAACUCUAUCUCCCUCUCUGUCCCAUACUUGUCCAUCAUGGAUUCGAGACCAAUUAUUUUAGCAGAGUAUUCGAACAGGUCAGAGGGAGAUGUCCGAGCGCGGAGACGCCACAAUCAAGCUCUUCGGCAAGAGCAUCACUCUGCAGUUCGGCGGAGACGAGGAGAAUGCACUGCGAUCGAAGGAUUUUCGAGAGGAAGAGACUGCUCCUGAAUCACCCGACUCACAGGAAACUAACGAGCAUGAAGCGACGAGGAACUCGAUGCCCGAUGAACGACGAAGUGAAGCAGGGAGUUGGAAGGAGAAGGCGGCGAAGAAGCCCAAGAAGAUCGUUCCUUGUCCUCGGUGCGGAAGCCCCGACACCAAAUUCUGCUAUUACAACAACUACAACGUCGACCAGCCGCGGCAUUCCUGCAGGAACUGCCAAAGGUACUGGACCGCCCAACGACGCCAUGCGGAACGUUGAUGUUGGAGCCGGCCGACGCAGGAACAGGAGUAGCUCUCACGAUCGGCACGUCGCGCUUCGCUUUGGCCCUGACUGAUGGGGAUAAAAAGAGGAAUAACCUUUGUAUAGGAACAAAUACUAGAAGACCAAAAUAUGCAGCGGAAUAAAAUGGAAACACAAUCAAACAGAACACCAAGAUAUACGUGGAAAACCCCUUCAAUGUGAAGGGUAAAAAUCACGGGGCAAACUAGAGAUAAUCCACUAUGAGAAUAAUGAAUAUACAAAUCUCAAUCUCUUGCCCAAAACCCUAGCAACAACCACAAGAGAAUAACUGGGAUACAAGGAUCACGUCACUGCCCACAAUAUCUAAAACCUCCCCAAGUAAUCACAGCAAGAGUCUACUGUAGAUUUGAUCUAACCUGAGAUGAGAACACUGCUAGAUGAUUGUGAACAGUCUCUCUGCGUUGUCCUUGUCUUCUUCCCUUUCUUUCUCUUCCUUUUCUGCCUUGAUCUCCUUCUUCUCUUUGGAAUCCCGUGGCCUCAAAGAUCUGCCUCGUUGCUGCCUUUUUAUAGCCUUAAUCUGCCUCUAAAACGCAGCCACCACACCUCCCUAAUCUUAAUUAGGGUUAGGUUAAGAGAGGGUGUGGGCUGUGGGCUGAUAAAGCCCACAUGGGCUGAAUAUGGGCCAUCAGCCCAACAACCUCCCCCUUCAGCCCAUAAGGGAGGUUGUCCCAUGACUCCUCAAUGUGAAGCCAUGCCGACCAACUGUCGGCAUAUCAACUGUCUUUCUUUUGGUAAGGUCUUCGUCAACAUGUCUGCUCCGUUGUCAUCUGUAUGAAUUUUCUGAAGCUGCAACUGCUUCUCUUCAAAUACAUUUCGAAUCCA